rnacentral:rRNA from 1 species
UGCUCAAUGAUUUUUUAAAUUGCUGUAGUAUUUUGACUAUACAAAGGUAUUGAAAUAAGACUUUAAUUGAGUGCUAAGAGAAUGGAAAUACAGAAAAAUUCUUUCUUGAAUUCAAAAAUUGAAGUUAUUUUUAUAUGUGAAGAAACAAUAAUGAAAAUUAUUGACAAGAAGACCCUAAGAAUUUUUUUAAUUUAAUUAAAAAAUUUUUUAAUUAAAUUCUUUAAUUGGGGCGAUUAAUAAAAAUUAAAAACUUUGUUUUUUUAAAAAAGAACCAAUAAUAUUGGAAAUAUGAUAAAAAUACUCUAGGGAUAACAGCGUAAUAACUUUAGAUAGUUCAUAUAGACAAAGUAGUUUGCGACCUCGAUGUUGGAUUAGGAUACUUUUUUAAUGAAGAAGUUAAAAAAAGAAGUUUGUUCAACUUUUAAUUUCCUACUUGAUCUGAGUUCAGACCGGA